GAAGUCCAGACGGCCUGGCUCCGCAGAAACGCGUCUGGUCCUCCUCGGCCGCCGUCGCGGAGGCCGGGCAUGGGCGCGGCAGGAGGAGUAUUCGCGGAAACGCUGCUUGGAGGAGGUCGCGGUGGGGUCACUAGAAAAGCAGCCCACAGGUCCUACUCUAGGAGCAAGAUCCAACAAGUAAAGCAAGAAGGUCUCAGGACCAGUGUGUGGUCAUUUGUGGGGACACCAUUGAGCAGAGACCAAGAUUUCAGGAAUUGAGGGGAAUUCAAGAAGAAACUAAACACACAAGUCCCUUUUACUGGGUGUUUCCAGUCACAGAAGAAAAUGAUUAAGGACCAGGAAUCGCUGACACUGGAGGACGUGGCCGUGGACUUCACCUGGGAGGAGUGGCAGCUCCUCGCCCCCACCCAGAAGGACCUGUACCGGGACGUGAUGUUGGAGAAUUAUAGGAACCUGGUGUCAGUGGGGUACAUGGCCAGCAAGCCAGAUGCACUCUCCAGAUUGGAACAAGGGGAACUGUGGACGACAGAACAUGAGAUCCCCAGUCGAAUCCGUCCAGAGAUCAAGAAAGAUGAUGGUCAUCUACAGGGGCACUUGCAAAAUCAAAGAUGUCCAAAGAGAAUGAAACAAUGCCAUGAACAUAAUGCAUUCGGAAAUGUCAUUCAUCAGAGUAAAAGUAAUUUUCCCUUAAGGCAAAAUCAUGAUAUCUUUGACUUAAAUGGGAAAACACUGAAAUCAAAUUUAAGUUUAGUCAACCAGAACAGAAGCUAUGAAGUAAAGAACCUCAUUGAGGCUAAUGGGGAUACGAAAUCCUUAUCCCAUACAAAGCAUGACCAGUAUUGUAUUGAAAUUAAAUUUCCCGAAUGUGGGAAUUCUAUGAAUACAAAUUCCCAAUUCAUCAAGCAUCAAAGAACUGAAAAGAUAGAGAAGCCCCAUGUGUGCAGUGAGUGUGGAAAAGGCUUCUUCAAGAAGUCUCGGCUCAUGGGUCAUCAGAGAGUUCACACAGGAGAGAAGCCUCAUGGGUGCAGCGUGUGUGGGAAAGCCUUUUCCAGGAAGUCCAGACUCACUGAACAUGAGAAAACUCACGUAGGAGAAAAGCGGUAUGAGUGCUCUGAAUGUGACAAAGCAUUCCCCAAGAAAUCACGGCUACUUACGCAUCAGAAAACCCAUACAGGAGAGAAACCCUACGUGUGCAGUGAGUGUGGAAAAGGCUUCAUCAAGAAGUCCCGGCUCAUUAACCAUCAGAGAGUUCACACAGGAGAGAAGCCUCACGAAUGCAGUCUGUGUGACAAAGCAUUCUCCAGAAAGUCCAGGCUCGUUGAACACCAGAGAACUCAUACGGGAGAAAAACCUUAUGAAUGCACUGAAUGUGAUAAAACGUUCCGCUGGAAGUCACAGCUCAAUGCCCAUCAGAAGACCCAUACAGGAGAGAAAUCAUAUAUAUGCAGUGAUUGUGGAAAAGGCUUCAUUCAGAAGGGCAAUCUCAUUGUACAUCAGCGAACGCAUACUGGGGAGAAGCCUUAUAUGUGCAGUGAGUGUGGGAAAGGUUUCAUUCAGAAGGGCAAUCUCCUUAUACAUCAACGAACUCACACUGGAGAGAAACCCUAUGUAUGCACCGAAUGUGGGAAAGGCUUUAGCCAGAAGACAUGCCUCAUAUCACAUCAGCGAUUUCACACUGGAAAGACUCCCUUUGUGUGUACUGAGUGUGGAAAAUCCUGUUCACACAAGUCUGGUCUCAUUAACCACCAGAGAAUUCACACAGGAGAGAAACCCUAUACCUGCAGUGACUGUGGGAAGGCUUUUAGAGAUAAGUCGUGCCUUAACCGACACCGGAGAACUCAUACAGGAGAGAGGCCCUAUGGAUGUGCUGACUGUGGGAAGGCUUUCUCUCACCUGUCCUGCCUUGUUUACCAUAAGGGAAUGUUGCAUGCAAGAGAGAAAGGUGCACGUUCAGUCGCAGUGGAGAAUCCUUUCCCAGAGAGCUACAGCUCAUCACUUUCCAAUGAUAGCAUGCAGGAGAAGGACCCGGCUAACACGGUGUCCGUGCAGAUGACUUCUGUAGCAGCUCAGACUUCCUUACACCUCCGUGGCCUCCUAGCAGACAGGAACAUAGCCACCGUGGGACAGCCAGGUACCAGAUGUGCACCAUCACCAGAUAACGGAAUCUGCACAGAGAAACCUUUUGAAUGCAGUGAAUGUGGUAGUGCCUUCACUGAUCAGUUACGUCAUAUUUUAUGUCACAAAAAGCACACAGGUAUAAAGUGUGAUACGAUCAAGGUGGAAAACCCUUGACUUAAACCUUCCUGCUCAUUAUUGGGCUGAUAAGUGUAUAUGGAGACAAAUAGUAUAACGACCAGGAAUAGUAUGAAGACAAAUAGUACAAAGAUCGGAAAAUCCUUUGUGGAAAGGUAGACCUUACCGGUGUUUCAUAGGUCACAUAUCAUCAGUGAGCUCAUAGCUGGUAGAAAUAAUAAUGACCCUGGAAAAGUCCUUCCCCAGAAAUAAGACUUCAGUAGGCGUCAGAGAUCUCACACCGGAGAAGAACAGUCGGAAGAGCUCUGAAGGCAGUGAAUGUGGCACUGUCGUCAGUGGGGCAUUCUGCCUCAUCAGUUGGCAGAGGAAAUCAUACAGAAGCAAAACUCUGACCUCACCAACUGUGGAACAUCUUCGGCAAAGUACCAGAAAACACAUAAAGCAAAUAAGCCCUGUGAAAAUGAGUGUUUUAGAGAUUUCUGCCACAAGUUUGAAAUCAUUUUACUUGAGAUAAUGUACAUAGUGUACAUUUUAGGACAAUAUACCUCGAAUCAAACUCCUCAUUGAUAUGAUGGUCACUCUUUAAUUCAAAGGAGGUGGUAUAUAUUGCACAUCAGUGGUUAGAGUCAGAACAGUGCACCCCCUCCCUUUUUUGGGGGUGUGUGAAUCUCUCAUUCCCGCCCAUGAUCAUUAUAUGGUUAGCUCUUGUGUUUCUUUGGUCCUAAAUUUAUUCAGUUUAUUUUAGGCUACUGAAGUCCCUCCUUCAGCCUUCAAAAGGAAAGUGAAUACAUUUGAUUCAGUAACGUACCAUCGUGUGUUUGGAUGUGUUUAACUUUGUAAAUCUCACCCAAAGGAACAACUGUUCAGAACUUACAACCUGUCAGCCAGGUUCUUUCCCUAGAAGAUAGUUCCUAUCCGGUACACACACCACUCAGAAAAACUUUUCAGCUGUUUCCUUUACCUGGUGCUGUUCUAGAACCUACAGUUGCUGACAGUGAUGAACUGAACAAAAGUCCUUGCUGCCUUUGAGCUGGCAUUUUUAAAAAAAGAUUUAUUUACUUGAGAAAGAGAGCACAAGCAGGGGAAGUAGAAGGCAGAGGGAGAGGGAGAAGCAGGGAGCCUGAUGUGGGGCUCGAGCCCAGGACCCUGGGAUCAUGAUCUGAGCUGAAGGCAGAUGCUUAACCGACUGAGCCACCCAGGUGCCCCUAAGCUGGUGUUUUUUUAAAGCUGGAUUAUAUGUGUGUAGCAAUUUGACCCUCCAGCAUGUGUAAUCAAAGGAUGUAUACACCUACAUUAGUUGAAAAGGACAUACCAUAGAAGAUACAAAGUAUCCUGGUAAUUUCUUUUUCGAGGGGCAUAUUCUUACUUGGAAAGGGAGCAGGAAAGGAUUCACUUAGUUUUACACAUGUAAAAUAAGAUAUGGAGACUUCUUUAAAAGGUUCGUAUCUUAUCUCUCCACUUGAAUUAUAAAUGUCUAUCUGGAUAGUUUAUAGUUUAUAUUCCCCAGCACAUAGCAAAAUAGAAAUGAAUUACAUUGCUUUGAAAGAUGAUUGAAAGUGAGUGUAUGACCUAUUAAUGACCUAACAGACUAACCAACCAAACAUAUUUUUGUCACUGAAGGAAAGGAGCUAUAGGAAAGAAAUUUCAAAGAUCAGUAUUAUCCCAAGAAACAUUAAAAAAAGAAUCCUGAUGGGCGCCUGGGUGGCUCAGUUGGUUAAGUGACUGCCUUCGGCUCAGGUCAUGAUCCUGGAGUCCCGGGAUCGAGUCCCGCAUCGGGCUCCCUGCUCAGCAGGGAGUCUGCUUCUCCCUCUGACCCUCUUCCCUCUCGUGCUCUCUGUCUCUCAUUCUCUCUCUCAAAUAAAUAAAUAAAAUCUUUAAAAAAAAAAAAAGAAUCCUGAAUAGAGGCCUCUGGCAAUAUAGAAGGGGCAGAUCAGUGAAGGAAUAGGAUCCACAGAACAAGCCCAAUUAAUGGAAGAAAAUGACGUCACUUUAAAAAUUGAGGACAGUGUGUUAGAUGGGUGGAGGUGAGAUUCCGUCAGAUGUCGUGGAGAAGAGCCUUGACCCUGGUCCACAGUCUGCCACCUGUUAGAGUUGCUAGAGUCUCAGGGAUCCCAGCUCCACUGUGAUGUGAUGAACGGAGACAUGAUGUCGCAUCAUCAUCUUCAUUGUCCUGUGUCAGUGGGGCCUGUGUCAUCUCUUCUGUACUCAGAUUUCUUUCCCUUGCUUCAGUAAAGACCUAUCCAGCUUAAAAACAGUGAGUCCUACUUACAAGGGAAAAAAGUGGAAAUUUGCCAUGAAGUGGCUGUUCCGUAAUUGAAUUCCAAACUCGAGUCAAUUACUCCAUUCACUACUACAGACAUCUUUUUGAGCAUCUGCAUCGUGCCAGGUACUGUUGCAGGCAUGGGAUACUCUGGGAAACAACACAUGCAAACUAAUGGCCUCUAACAGGAUGGAUGCGGGGCAGAUGCUCUUCAGAGAAUCAGAAAUGGAUUCUUCUUUGACUCGAUCUUCAAGUUCUUUCCACUCCUUGUCUUGUGAAUCUGCAUGUCAUAUCAUGGUGGUUGGCAUCGUCCUACUUAAAUCUGCAGUUAGGGUCCCUGAAUGGGCUGCCCAGCCUACCCUGAACCUGAGGACCAGGUGCUGAACUCACCUUUCCGAGGUUGGUAUCCCAGGACUUGCUGACACUGGAGGAUGUGGCUGUGGACUUCACCUGGGAGGAGUGGCAGCUCCUGGCCCCUGCCCAGAAGGACCUGUACCGGGACGUGCUGUUGAAGAAUUAUAGGAACCUGGUGUUAUUGGGUGAGGACAGCUCCCUUGUGUCACUUAGAGGGUCCUCAUCAGUGGUCUGUCCUCUGUCAGCCACUUAACGCUUCAGAGUAUCUGCAGUGCUCUCAAGUGGUAGAUUCUCAGAUCCUUCUCUGGCUUCAGACAAGAGUGUAUAAUGAGUUGUCUCCUGAGAGAAAAGCCUCUGAGUUGCAGAUCUGAAAACUGUCUCAGUCCCUCAGAUAUAGCAUUCUCCCAUCUUGACAGACCCCAGCCCAUUUCGAAGUGUUGUCUUUUCCAU